UUAUCAUUCCCGAAAAUGGCGACUUUAGCAGCUGCUGCUGUUGUUGCUGCCGCUGGCAGAGAUCCCGCUGUUGACCGUUCAUUGCGCUCUGUCUUUGUGGGAAACAUUCCAUAUGAGGCACAGAGGAGCAACUGAAAGACAUUUUUUCAGAAGUCGGUCUCGUUGUCAGCUUUCGGUUGGUGUAUGAUAGGGAGACAGGCAAGCCGAAGGGAUAUGGCUUCUGUGAGUAUCAGGACCAGGAGACGGCCCUCAGUGCCAUGCGGAACCUGAACGGAAGAGAGUUCAGCGGCCGGGCUCUCCGUGUUGACAAUGCUGCUAGUGAGAAAAACAAAGAGGAGCUCAAGAGUUUGGGGACAGGAGCCCCCAUUAUUGAGUCUCCCUACGGGGACAACAUCAUGCCAGACGAGGCUCCAGAGUCUAUUAGCAGAGCUGUGGCCAGUUUGCCCCCAGAGCAGAUGUUUGAGCUCAUGAAACAGAUGAAGCUGUGUGUGCAAAACAGUCCCCAGGAGGCCAGGAACAUGCUGUUGCAGAACCCCCAGCUGGCAUUUGCUUUGCUGCAGGCCCAGGUUGUCAUGAGGAUUGUAGACCCUGAGAUUGCCCUGAAAAUGCUUCACCGUCAAACCCCAGUGCAGCCAUUGGUUCCCAACAGUCAAGCUGGGCCAGUGCCAGUGGCCAACCAGCCUAUUCCCCCAGCCAAUGCUCCAGUCUCCCAGUCACAGCCCAUGCCGGGCAUGCACAUGAACGGAGCUCCUCAGAUGAUGCAGCCCCCUCCCAUGGGUGGGGGACCUGGGCCCAUGCCAGGACAGGGACCAGUGGGACCACCAGGAAACCUCCAGCACUCACCCGUAGGAUCAUCUGGGCAGGCUGCUAUCGAGCGACCUCAAGGACCAGGUGGUAUCCCUCCCAGAGGCCUGCUUGGCGAUGGCCCCAACGACCCCAGAGGAGGAACCCUGCUCUCUGUCACAGGAGAGGUCAUCGAACCCAGUCGAGGAGGAGGCUUCAUCGGGGCCCCCCCACCACACCAGGGGCCCCCCAUGCACAUGAACCAGAUGGCUGGAGGGCCUCCUCUGGACAUGAGGCCGCCCCAUGACAUGAGAGGACCCCCCAUGGGUGAACCCAGAGGCAUGAUGGGAGAGCCCCGGGAACCCCCCAUGGGUGAACCCAGGGGCAUGAUGGGAGAGCCCCGGGGACCCCCCAUGGGUGAACCCAGGGGCAUGAUGGGAGAGCCCCGGGGACCCCCCAUGGGUGAACCCAGGGGCAUGAUGGGAGAGCCCCGGGGACCCCCCAUGGGUGAAUCCAGGGGCAUGAUGGGAGAGCCCCGGGGACCCCCCAUGGGUGAACCCAGGGGCAUGAUGGGAGAGCCCCGGGGACCCCCCAUGGGUGAACCCAGGGGCAUGAUGGGAGAGUCCCGGGGACCCCCCAUGAUGGAACAGCGGGGACCCCCCAUGAUGGAGCCCAGGGGACCCCCCAUGGAGAACAGAGGUCGGGACCCCCGAGCGGUGGACCCCCGUGGACCAGUGUCGGGCCAGAGGGUUCCCACUGCACAAGGAAUGCAGGGCCCCUCCCCUCACUCCAUGAAUACUAAUGCCCCUCCACCUGCCAGACCGGGUCCUGGUGUACCACAGUCCGGAGGUAGCUUCAGCCCAGGGCAAAGCCAGGUGACCUCACAGGACCAUGAGAAGGCCGCCUUGAUCAUGCAAGUGCUGCAGCUGACCCCAGAACAGAUCGCCAUGCUGCCCCCAGAACAGAGGCAGAGCAUUCUCGUCCUCAAAGAGCAGAUCCUGAAGACCACCGGGGCACCCUGAAUACCCUCACACCCAUAGGCUCAAGACUGUCACAGGACCCCGACACCCCUGCCCCCGUAACCUCGACGUUGGAUUGAUCAGAACACGUCACCUCACUUCAAACAUUUUGGAGAUUGUUUUGUAUUAUAUGGUCUUUUUUUUAAUGGAAGUUUAAAGUGUUAGUGAUUUGAAGAAUGUCUGUUAUUCUUUUGAAGGGGAACAUAGUCAGUUCAACUGAGAAAAGCGUUGCUGGAUGUUACUUGAUGCCCGACCCUUUUCAUUUUGUGGCUGGACCCUGUUGCCUGUCUGGAUAUUUGUUCAAUUAAAUAAACACUUCAAUAGAAACUGUUCACACA